rnacentral:rRNA from 1 species
UACAGAGGUCCCAAGCGUUGUUCGGAUUCACUGGGCGUAAAGGGUGCGUAGGCGGCUGUUCAAGUCGAACGUGAAAACUCGGAGCUCAACUCCGAGCCUGCGUUCGAUACUGGACGGCUAGAGUCUGGUAGGGGGAUCUGGAAUUCCUGGUGUAGCGGUGAAAUGCGCAGAUAUCAGGAGGAACACCGGUGGCGAAGGCGGGGUCUCUGGGCCGUAACUGACGCUGAGGAGCGAAAAGCAUGGGGAGCGAACAGG